rfam:Serendipita vermifera MAFF 305830 unplaced genomic scaffold scaffold_64, whole genome shotgun sequence.
GGCUUUUUGGUUUAGUGGUAGAGCGUACUUCAUGUUCUCGAAGUGAGGUUCGGGGUUCGAUUCCUCGAAAGGCUG